UAGAAGUUUCUAAAGAGCUUCGUGGGAGCCAGAUAAAGACGGAUGUUGUUGGCCAUUCUUGAGAAAAGAAGGUAAAAAACAAACAACUGGGAUGGGAGAGUUCUUGACCACCCCAGGCUGCCUGUGGCUCUUGUACCACAAGCUGAUAUGAAAUCUGCCUCUUUAUAAUGUCCACUCAUUUGCUUGCUCACUCCUCCGUAGUGCCAGUAAACA